ACAGACUUUCUUUUUUAGGGCUUACCCCAAAAAGAUAAAUAAUUCAACAUCGAGGUCAUAAUCUUUUUCUUUUAUAAGAACUUUAAGAAAAAAUUGUGCUGUUAUCCCUACGGUAGCUUGUUUGAUUCUCAUUUUGAGGAUGGGGUCAAAGAUAAAAAGAAGAUUUAGUUUUUUACCGCCCCAGUUCAACAGAAGUAAAGUUCGAUAGGGUCUUGUCGUCCUUCUUUGAAAUACAAGUUUUUUUACUUGAGUGAAAAGUUAAAAAAGUUAGGGUAAUAAAGAAAUUCAUAUGUCAAACCUUUCAUACUAGCCUUAAAUUAAAAGGCAAAUGAUUAUGCUACCUUAGCACAGAUUGAUUGCGGCUAUUGAAAGAAUCAUUGAGCAGGUCCUACUGAGUAUAAUUCCAUUCAGAAAUGUUUUUGGUAAACAGACAAUAAAUUUAGAGGCCGAGUUCAUAAACCCAAAGUUAAAGAUAGGCUAAGGAGGGGCUGUUUAGGAGGGGGAAAGUGGGUAGAAUUUUACUAAUAAGAUCAUUAUGGCUCUUGGUGGGUGGCUUUCUUUUAAAAAGGUUUAAAGGAUAGGAAAGUAAGAGUUUGAAAACUUAGAGGACACUAUUAAUCCUGGAAUUUGAGUGGGAGAAAAAUAGCAACAGAUAAAAAAGAUUAUCCCUUUUUAAAUUCUAGUACUACUACUUUAAAUGAAAACCAGAUAUUAUAGAAUGCGAAUGGAAUUUCAUCUCUAUAUUCACUUUGGUAAACUUUGUGAUAUAAGCUUAACAAGAGAAAAUAGAUCAUCUCAAUUUCGGGAAAGUUUCUUAAAAAAGUGGGGUUGAUUUUCCCUGAUACUAAAGGUACAUUUUGUUUCUAUUUUUCAAUUGGGGGGAGUUUCCCUCACGGUUUAAUAAUUAGGAAGGGUGAAUAGAAAGAAAAUAAUUAUUUGUUUAAAUAAGAUUUUAAAUAAUAGGGUU
rnacentral:rRNA from 1 species